CGGGAGAGAGUUGCAGGGAUUCCUGGAUUCCCUACACCAGUCAGAUCAUGGGGCAGCAGCAAGGUGCCAUCCAAGAUGUGGAGCUAAUGGAAGCAGAGCUGCCUUCUGGGAGCUGCUUGGCUGUAUCACUGCAAUUCUGCUCUCAUUGUCAGGCUGCCUUCUCCUAUUUUCUCCUCUCUGUCUCCAUCAGUCCAAGCUGGCAGUAUUUCUGCUGGAAUAACAGCCUCAAGCACCCUGCUUUGGUGACCCAGCCUGGGCCUUCCUCCCCUCCUGUCAGACCCGCAGCUUGGACUCACUGCCCUCGACUGCCUACUUUGGAUAACAGGCCUUUACUUUGGCCUUGUGCUUCCCCCCUGGCCUGGCGGCCCCUCUUUUCAAAUGAGGCUGAGCCAUGUUCCCAAGGCUAGCACUAGGGACAAGGAGAAAUGGUGCUAGCACAGGCCUGCCCCAGAGCCCCUGGAGGCAGGGCCAAGAUUCUAGACCUGGGCCACACUGCCCAUAGGCAAGUCGGCUCUUUGCAGGCAAAGGCAGGAUCAGGAAACUGGACUAUUAGUCUUUACAACAGCUCUAUGGGGUGGGCAUUGCCAUCACUGGUUUAUGGAUGAGGAACCUGAGGCUCAGAGAGGAACAGAGGGUGACCUGAGGUCACAUAGCCAAUAACAGACAGAGCUUGGACUGAAAACCUGGUGUUGCUGCCUGCCCCUCAGCCUCCUUCACUGUAGAAGUAUAAAGAGCCUUGUUGAGAGACUACUGCCUCCAGCCCCAGGACCACCCUAAGACCUGGGCAAGAAGGACCUCAUGCCUUGUAGCACUCGCCUUGAAAUCUUCUAGGUUUCUAUCUGUAGCUGGAACUGACCAGGACUGGCAGUGCCAUCUAGCUGGGGCAUCCUCAGCUUGAACUGGCACCUGUGUGGGCCCCAGUCCCUGUUUCUCCUCCUUGGGGUACCCUCUGACACUCAAACCCAUGUGUGAGGUUGACUAGAUGUACCAAGGAGCAAUGGGCCUCAUGCCUGUGCAGUCAUCUUGGGGCCACAUAGCUGGACUUGGUUCCUGGCAGGCAGUCUGGUGAGUGGAUUGCUCCCCUGGCUGGUGAAGAAUUUUUUAUGUGGGAUCACAUGAAAUUGGGCUUUCAGAAUGGUGCUGACAUGCUGAUUUUGAAUGACUCAAUUGUUUAUAUAGACAGGAGCCUGGCAAGAAAAUAUUUGCCCAGGGUCCCAUUCACCCUAGGGAAGGCUCUGCCAUCUCCCUGACAUUAA
rnacentral:lncRNA from 1 species